AGAGCCCUGCCUCAGUGGUAGAGCAUCUGCCUGGCAUGCAGAAGGUCUUGGGUUCAGCCCCCUGCAUCUCUA